rnacentral:ncRNA from 1 species
AUUAGCAAAUACGAGAAAGAAGAACAAGAUCUUAACAGAUCCAGUUUUUUAUUUUCCAAAUUUGGCAAGUAUCGCCGGGCCUAGUUAUUCUCUUGCCGAUGAUCAGUAGCUAGUUCGAGAGGAUGAUCAGCCACAGUGGGACUGAGACAUGGCCCAGACUCCUACGGGAGGCAGCAGUGGGGAAUUUUCCGCAAUGGGCGAAAAGGA